rnacentral:rRNA from 1 species
GAAUUCGGCUUAGAGUUUGAUCCUGGCUCAGAAUGAACGCUGGCGGCGUGCCUUACACAUGCAAGUCGAGCGAGGCCAGGGGGCAACCCCUGAGUCGAGCGGCGAACGGGUGAGUAACGCGUGGAUAACCUGCCCAGAGGUGGGGGAUAACCCGGGGAAACUCGGGCUAAUACCGCAUGAUACCGAGAGGUCAAAGGGGGCUCGCAAGAGCUCUCGCCAUUGGAGGGGUCCGCGUCCGAUUAGCUAGUUGGUAGGGUAAUGCCCUACCAAGGCGACGAUCGGUAGCCGGCCUGAGAGGGUGAUCGGCCACACUGGAACUGAGACACGGUCCAGACUCCUACGGGAGGCAGCAGUGGGGAAUUUUGCGCAAUGGGCGAAAGCCUGACGCAGCAACGCCGCGUGGAGGAUGAAGGUCUUUGGAUUGUAAACUCCUGUCGGCCGGGAAAAAGCGACUCGACCUAACACGUCGGGGAGUUGAAAGUACCGGCAGAGG